AUUGAACGCUGGCGGCAGGCCUAACACAUGCAAGUCGAGCGGAUGAAGGGAGCUUUCUCCUGGAUUCAGCGGCGGACGGGCGAGUGAUGCCCAGGAAUCUGCCUGGUAGUUGGGGAUAACGUCCGGAAACGGGCGCUAAUACCGCAUACGUCCAGAUGUUGAACGUGGUGGAUCUUCGGACCUCGCGCUAUUUGAUGACCCUAGGUCGGAUUAGCUAGUUGGUGAGGUAAGGGCCUACCAAGGCGACGAUCCGUAACUGGUCUGAGAGGAUGACCAGUCACACUGGAACUGAGACACGGUCCAGACUCCUACGGGAGGCAGCAGUAGGGAAUAUUCGGCAAUGGGCGAAAGCCUGAUGCAGCCAUGCCGCGUGUGUGAAGAAGGUCUUCGGAUUGUAAAGCUCUGUUAGUUGGGAAGAAGGACAGUGAGAUAAUACCUUGCUGUUUUGACGUUACCAACAGAAUAAGCACCGGCUAACUUCGUG
rnacentral:rRNA from 1 species